rnacentral:tRNA from 1 species
GACCUCGUAGCUCAAUUGGCUAGAGCGUUGACUAUACUAAAGCCUUCCCUUGCUGACUUGGGUUCGAAUCCCACCGAGGCUG